CGUGUAGGCGGCCUCGUAUGUCUGACGUGAAAGCCCCGGGCUUACCCCGGGAAGUGCGUUGGAAACUGCGAGACUAGAGUCCCGGAGAGGAAGGUGGAAUUCCAGGUGUAGCGGUGAAAUGCGUAGAUAUCUGGAAGAACACCGGUGGCGAAGGCGGCCUUCUGGACGGUGACUGACGCUGAGACGCGAAAGCGUGGGGAGGCAAAACA
rnacentral:rRNA from 1 species